GGAGCACCUGGGUUUCGGAGCGUCAGCGUUUCGAAAACCAAGAUUGAACACAUGAAAAAACCGUGCAUGCAAAUUCAGCAGAAGGAGAACAUGCAGGAAGUUCGUGCAUUUGUGGCAACAAAACCUGCACUUAGAAAGCGAACCGUGUCCAUGCCCCGGAUGCAGCAAAACGUUAAUAAUGCAAAACGCAUCAAGAGAUACCGGUGU
rnacentral:lncRNA from 1 species